rnacentral:rRNA from 1 species
UACGUAGGGCGCAAGCGUUGUCCGGAAUUAUUGGGCGUAAAGAGCUCGUAGGUGGUUUGUUACGUCUGCUGUGAAAAACCUAGGGCUUAACCCUGGGCCUGCAGUGGAUACGGGCAGACUAGAGGUAGGUAGGGGAGAAUGGAAUUCCGCGUGUAGCAGUGAAAUGUGUAGAGAUGCGGAGGAACACCGAUGGCGAAGGCAGCCCCCCUGGGCUGACACUGACGCUCAGGCACGAAAGCGUGGGGAGCAAACAGG